rnacentral:snRNA from 1 species
GUGCUCGCUUUGGCAGCUCAUAUGCUAAAACUGCAAUGAUACAGAGAUUAGCAUGGCCCCUGUACAAGGAUGACAUGCAAAUUCAUGAAGCAUUCCAUAUUUAA